UGGGGAAUAUUGCGCAAUGGGCGAAAGCCUGACGCAGCAACGCCGCGUGAGUGAUGAAGGCCUUCGGGUCGUAAAGCUCUGUCGGAGGGAACGAAUGCUCUUGAGGUUAACAGCCUCAGGACGUGACGGUACCCUCAAAUGAAGCACCGGCUAACUCUAUGCCAGCAGCCGCGGUAAUACGUAGGCAGCGAGCGUUGUUCGGAAUUACUGGGCGUAAAGAGUGUGUAGGCGGUGCUCUAAGUUCGGUGUGAAAUCUCCUGGCUUAACUGGGAGGGUGCGCCGGAAACUGGAGUGCUUGAGCGUGGGAGAGGAAAGCGGAAUUCCUGGUGUAGCGGUGAAAUGCGUAGAUAUCAGGAGGAACACCUGUGGUGUAGACGGCUUUCUGGACCAUAGCUGACGCUGAGACACGAAAGCGUGGGUAGCAAAC
rnacentral:rRNA from 1 species